rnacentral:sRNA from 1 species
UUGCAGCCCGGCUUGAGCGGAAAUCCUUUUUUUGCGAAAGCGAAAAAAGAUUGGGAGCGGAAGACGGAAAAGCU